GCUUAGAGAGGGGUCAAUGUCCUAUCAGCUAGUUGGUAGGGUAAUGGCCUACCAAGGCUAAGACGGGUAGCCGGCCUGAGAGGGUGGUCGGCCACACUGGGACUGAGACACUGCCCAGACUCCUACGGGAGGCUGCAGUCGAGAAUCUUUCGCAAUGCCCGAAAGGGUGACGAAGCGACGCCGCGUGUGGGAAGAAGGCCUUCGGGUUGUAAACCACUGUCGGGAGUUAAGAAAUGUAAGGGUGUUAAUAGCAUCCUUACUUGACUAAGGCUCCGGAGGAAGCCACGGCUAACUCUGUGCCAGCAGCCGCGGUAAUACAGAGGCGGCAAGCGUUGUUCGGAAUUAUUGGGCGUAAAGAGCACGUAGGCGGCCUUGUAAGUCAGUUGUGAAAGCCUUCUGCUUAACGGAAGAACAGCAUUUGAUACUGCAAGGCUAGAGUACGGAAGGG
rnacentral:rRNA from 1 species